GUGAAUCAUCGAAUCUUUGAACGCACCUUGCGCUCCUUGGUAUUCCGAGGAGCAUGCCUGUUUGAGUGUCAUUAAAUUCUCAACAACUAUGCAAGUUUUAUUGACCUGUGUAGCUUGGAGCUUGGAUAUUGGGAUUUUGCGGGCUCAUCGCAGCCGGCUAUCCUUAAACGCAUUAGCGAAGCUUUGUUGCUAAUCUCUGGUGUGAUAGUUAUCAUCGCCAUUGAAUGGGCAGCAUGCUUUAAAGCUUAGCUUCUAAUUGUCUCUUAAAGGGACAUCACCUUGACCAUCUGACCUCAAAUC
rnacentral:misc_RNA from 1 species